GACGAACGCUGGCGGCGUGCUUAACACAUGCAAGUCGAACGGAAAGGCCCUGCUUUUGUGGGGUGCUCGAGUGGCGAACGGGUGAGUAACACGUGAGUAACCUGCCCUUGACUUUGGGAUAACUUCAGGAAACUGGGGCUAAUACCGGAUAGGAGCUCCUGCUGCAUGGUGGGGGUUGGAAAGUUUCGGCGGUUGGGGAUGGACUCGCGGCUUAUCAGCUUGUUGGUGGGGUAGUGGCUUACCAAGGCUUUGACGGGUAGCCGGCCUGAGAGGGUGACCGGCCACAUUGGGACUGAGAUACGGCCCAGACUCCUACGGGAGGCAGCAGUGGGGAAUAUUGCACAAUGGGCGGAAGCCUGAUGCAGCAACGCCGCGUGCGGGAUGACGGCCUUCGGGUUGUAAACCGCUUUCGCCUGUGACGAAUCGUGAGUGACGGUAAUGGGUAAAGAAGCACCGGCUAACUACGUGCCAGCAGCCGCGGUGAUACGUAGGGUGCGAGCGUUGUCCGGAUUUAUUGGGCGUAAAGGGCUCGUAGGUGGUUGAUCGCGUCGGAAGUGUAAUCUUGGGGCUUAACCCUGAGCGUGCUUUCGAUACGGGUUGACUUGAGGAAGGUAGGGGAGAAUGGAAUUCCUGGUGGAGCGGUGGAAUGCGCAGAUAUCAGGAGGAACACCAGUGGCGAAGGCGGUUCUCUGGGCCUUUCCUGACGCUGAGGAGCGAAAGCGUGGGGAGCGAACAGGCUUAGAUACCCUGGUAGUCCACGCUGUAAACGGUGGGUACUAGGUGUGGGGUCCAUUCCACGGGUUCCGUGCCGUAGCUAACGCUUUAAGUACCCCGCCUGGGGAGUACGGCCGCAAGGCUAAAACUCAAAGGAAUUGACGGGGCCCCGCACAAGCGGCGGAGCAUGCGGAUUAAUUCGAUGCAACGCGUAGAACCUUACCUGGGUUUGACAUGGAUCGGGAGCGCUCAGAGAUGGGUGUGCCUCUUUUGGGGUCGGUUCACAGGUGGUGCAUGGCUGUCGUCAGCUCGUGUCGUGAGAUGUUGGGUUAAGUCCCGCAACGAGCGCAACCCUUGUUCACUGUUGCCAGCACGUUAUGGUGGGGACUCAGUGGAGACCGCCGGGGUCAACUCGGAGGAAGGUGGGGAUGACGUCAAGUCAUCAUGCCCCUUAUGUCCAGGGCUUCACGCAUGCUACAAUGGCUGGUACAGAGAGUGGCGAGCCUGUGAGGGUGAGCGAAUCUCGGAAAGCCGGUCUCAGUUCGGAUUGGGGUCUGCAACUCGACCUCAUGAAGUCGGAGUCGCUAGUAAUCGCAGAUCAGCAACGCUGCGGUGAAUACGUUCCCGGGGCU
rnacentral:rRNA from 1 species